rnacentral:rRNA from 1 species
CCUACGGGAGGCAGCAGUGGGGAAUAUUGCACAAUGGGGGAAACCCUGAUGCAGCGACGCCGCGUGAGUGAAGAAGUAUUUCGGUAUGUAAAGCUCUAUCAGCAGGGGAGAAAAUGACGGUACCUGAUUAAGAAGCCCCGGCUAACUACGUGCCAGCAGCCGCGGUAAUACGGAGGGGGCAGGCGUGAUACGGAUUUAUUGGGUGUAAUGGGAGCGUAGACGGGUGUACAAGUCCGGAGGGAAAGGCCGGGGCUUAACCCCGGAACUGCUUUGGAAACUGGGCAUCUAGAGUGCAAGAGAGGUAAGUGGAAUGCGUGGUGUAGCGGUGAAAUGCGUAGAUAUCACGAAGAACACCGGUGGCGAAGGCGGCAUACUGGACUGUAACUGACGUUGAGGCUCGAAAGCGUGGGUAGCAAACAGGAUUAGAUACCCGAGUAGUC